UCCUCUCAUUUUGUCUCCUCUGCUGUCCCUCUUGACUCAUGGUCCACUUCCUCUUUUCAUCCCAGUCCCCCCCGGUCCUUUCUGUGCUCACAGGUUAAUCGUGAUGUUGACUGUUAGAAAUGGAACAAAAGGCCCUUCGUAUGACAUAAUACUGAUUUCCAGACCAAACCAUCUGAAUUUGAUAUAACCCCUUCAGUGUUAUUCUGCAGGAGGACACGGGGAUGCCAAAAACCGAAGGGCAACCUGAAGCCACAUUUAAUCCUUUAACCGCUGGUGUCACUCUUGACAUAAUCCAGUCUCGGAGAAAAAGAGCCUCUCCCUUUAUAGUGGACUCUCAUUCUGACGGCACCCAUUCACUGCCACUGUAAGGCAAAAUUUCUCCAAAUUGGUACAGAUGAAGAAACAACCUCAUCUACAUCUUGUAUGUCGUGAGGGAAAAGUGAACUGUGACCUCCAGGUGUCAAGCAUGCCGGUCGGUGGAGUAAAGAGCGGCUUCAGCCUGUUCGUUAGUUGGAGUGCCAUUUGAUGCCCAAGUGUCUACCACAACAUCCAACAGUAAUUGACAAACAAGCUGCACUUCUUUACACAUCCCCUUUCUCUCUCUUAAAAUCUGCUGUUGUUCAAGGCCAAGUAUUAUUUUGACAGACUUCAUUUAAUUCCAGUCGAGAUUUGAUGAACAUUAGAGAUACCAACAGACUUUGCGCAGCAACUGUUAUCCGCUGAUAGAGCAAUAGCAAUUUCAGUUUGCAGAGGACUUCAUCUAUUACCGUAGAAAACUCUGUAGAUAAGCAUCACCGGUAGUCUUGUUAUUGUACUUUUGUUGAAUGGUUGAUUUUAAAAUGUAUCGUUUAUGCUUCCAGAUGUUAUUGAUAGCUAGCAGGCUGUUAGUAGAAAAAAGGAAAGGGAAAAAAAGCUUAAUUUUAGCAUAAUAAGCUGGUGUGUAGUAGGCGUUCUGCCAAGCUGUGGUUGCCGUUGCAUCAUCCAGGUGGAUGCCGCACACUGAUGGUGGUGGAUGAGGACAUAUCCUCACAAUGUAAAGCGCUUUGAGUGCUUAGAAGAGUGCUAUAUAAAUGUAAUAAAUUAUUA